rnacentral:tRNA from 1 species
AGGCGGCGGGUUUUGAUCCCGUUAUGCGGAGGUUCGAAUCCUUCCGUCCCAG